CAGAGAAGAAGAAAGGGAGAAGAAGGAGAAAGGAAGGAAAAGAAGAAGAAGAAGGAAGAAGAGGAAGAAGAAAGUGAAGGAGUUGCUAGGAGUUGUUGUUGCCCAACUGCAGCUACUUCCCAGUUGAUGCCCCUGUAUGUGGCUUUUAUUACCUCUCCUAAGCUACUACCAAGGGAACCCUAGGCCACUAUUGUUGCUGCCAAUGUUGUUGGAUUGUUUGGGAGGCUGGAUAGCUGCAAAAGAAGAGCUAUUGUUGCACCUGCAGGUCCAUGUACUAGGAACCUAAGAUACUCAGCAAGGAUACGCGAUGACAGAAAUUCAACGAAAAGGCAUCAGAUUUGGGUAUCAAAAUGAUGAUGCAGGUACGGUCGUGCCCAUGGUUAGUGAUUCUCUAUCCUCUGGACCCAAGUACAGAGUGAAUGACUGGUGGAUGUCGGACGUGGAGGAGCGUAGACAGGAUUGUGCUUGUGAUUUCUGUGCAUACGCGGCACCAUGAGGUGUUCAACGUAAUUUUAGUUAUACGUCGUGGAUGAUUGUAAAAGAAUAAUUCAGUUACGGAUAAUAUUUUAUCAUUAGAUGAAUUUCCCUUUUUAUUUUUGAUUCAGCUACUAUACUCUGAUUCUACUGCUUA